rnacentral:lncRNA from 1 species
GGACCAGAAGGUAUUGAGAGAGUGUUAGGGUUUAGGAAUAGAUUAGAGGGGUUAGGAAAGGGAAUUGAACAGUUUACAAUAUAUUGAACAAGCAGGAAUGAACAUAUAAGCUUAACAUGAGAAGUAGUGAUAUAAAGCAUACCAUAGUUCUGAAUACAAGUGAUUAGUUACACGUUCUAAUAUACUUGCACACCUGAAACAGUUCUAUAUUGAUUUUACUUAUGAUUUGUUCAAUAAGAAAAGAAUGUUUAAUCAAAACCCCUGAUUCAUAAGAUAUAUGACCCUUUGGGGUGGCAGCUCCUGGUAUGUGGGAGUUGAAUUGGUAUUAAUACCUGGUGGCAGCGAAAAAAGGCGAGUUUACCUUUGUGGAGUCCAAAGAAAUAAGGGGCGCAAAGGGGCAUCACCACAGCAUGCAUCUCUCUUUUUGCUUCUCUUGCAGGCUGCUGUCCCAAACACACUUACCAGAGUCCCCACUGAACACAAUGGACUGCACCUCUUGUGCUGUCAUUGUUUGAACUACUUCAGGCUGCAAUCGUACACCAUUUAUGAGGACAGAGGUGGAAGGAGAAGCCAGCUGCAAGCAGGACUGAGGAAUGGAGAAAGAUAGCAAAGGCUUAUUCAGUAUUGUGACUACUACCAACACUAACACCAUCAAAGACUCUUCUACAGAACAUUGACUUUAUUAAGACCUCCUAGAUCUAAGAGUGCAAUGGGAAAAUGUAAUGGCAGUUAGUCCUAACCCCCUGUAAUAAAGUUCCUACUGUGCUAUGUUUCCA